AGUUCUGGGCCGCACGCGCGCUACACUGACAGAGCCAGCGAGUUUUUUUCCUUGGCCGGAAGGUCUGGGUAAUCUUGUGAAACUCUGUCGUGCUGGGGAUAGAGCAUUGCAAUUAUUGCUCUUCAACGAGGAAUUCCUAGUAAGCGUGAGUCAUCAGCUCGCGUUGAUUACGUCCCUGCCCUUUGUACACACCGCCCGUCGCUACUACCGAUUGAAUGGCUUAGUGAGGUCUUGAGAUUGGCUUCGGGGAGCCGGCAACGGCACCCUGUCGCUGAGAACUUGAUCAAACUUGGUCAUUUAGAGGAAGUAAAAGUCGUAACAAGGUUUCCGUAGGUGAACCUGCGGAAGGAUCAUUAACGAGUUGAACGGGGUUGUAGCUGGCCUUCACGGGCAUGUGCACACCUCACUCAUCCACUCUACACCUGUGCACUUACUGUGGGUUUCGAGAGGCCGCGCUUGCGUGGUUGAUCGGGCUCACGUCUAUUACAAACUCUUCAGUAUCAGAAUGUGUAUCGCGAUGUAACGCAUCUAUAUACAACUUUCAGCAACGGAUCUCUUGGCUCUCGCAUCGAUGAAGAACGCAGCGAAAUGCGAUAAGUAAUGUGAAUUGCAGAAUUCAGUGAAUCAUCGAAUCUUUGAACGCACCUUGCGCUCCUUGGUAUUCCGAGGAGCAUGCCUGUUUGAAUGUCGUGUAAUUCUCAACCUAUAAAUCCUUGUGGUUUUUAGGCUUGGACUUGGAGGCUUUUGCUGGCUUUACCGUCGGCUCCUCUUAAACGCAUUAACUUGGAUUCCUUGCGGAUCGGCUCUCAGUGUGGAUAAUUAUCUGCCCUGUGGACCGUGAAACGUUUGGCGAGCUUCUAACCGUCUCUUCGAGACAAACACUUUUGACAUCUGGACCUCCAAUCAGGGGAGGGACUACCCCCCCUGGAACUUUAAGCCAUUUUCAAUUAAACCGGGGGGGAAAAAAAAAACUUAACCAGGGGAUUUCCCCCUAAAUAAACCUGCCCAAAUGAAAACCGGGGAAAAAAACUCCCAAAAUUUUAAAAAUCUGGGGGGGGG
rnacentral:rRNA from 1 species